rnacentral:rRNA from 1 species
AAAACUUUCAACAACGGAUCUCUUGGUUCUGGCAUCGAUGAAGAACGCAGCGAAAUGCGAUAAGUAAUGUGAAUUGCAGAAUUCAGUGAAUCAUCGAAUCUUUGAACGCACAUUGCGCCCGGCAGUAAUCUGCCGGGCAUGCCUGUCCGAGCGUCAUUUCAACCCUCGAACCUCUGUUUCCCAGCGAAGCUCAGGGUCGGCGUUGGGGCGCUACGGCGAGUCUUCGCGACCCCGUAGGCCCUGAAAUACAGUGGCGGUCCCGCCGCGGUUGCCUUCUGCGUAGUAAAAGUCUUCUUUUGCAAGCUUCGCAUUGGGUCCCGGCGGAGGCCUGCCGUCAAACCACAUUAUAACUUAAGAUGGUUUGACCUCGGAUCAGGUAGGGUUACCCGCUGAACUUAAGCAUAUCAAUAAGCGGAGGAAAAGAAACCAACAGGGAUUGCCUCAGUAACGGCGAGUGAAGCGGCAACAGCUCAAAUUUGAAAUCUGGCAGCCUCCGGGCGGUCCGAGUUGUAAUUUGAAGAGGAUGCUUUUGGCGAGGCGCCUUCCGAGUGCCCUGGAACGGGACGCCACAGAGGGUGAGAGCCCCGUAUGGUUGGACGCCGAGCCUCUGUAAAGCUCCUUCGACGAGUCGAGUAGUUUGGGAAUGCUGCUCAAAAUGGGAGGUAAACCCCUUCUAAAGCUAAAUACUGGCCAGAGACCGAUAGCGCACAAGUAGAGUGAUCGAAAGAUGAAAAGCACUUUGAAAAGAGAGUUAAAUAGCACGUGAAAUUGUUGAAAGGGAAGCGCUUGCGACCAGACUUGUGCCCGUCGAAUCAGCCGCCGCUCGUCGGCGGCGCACUUCGGCGGGCUCAGGCCAGCAUCAGUUCGCUGCAGGGGGAGAAAGGCGGUGGGAAUGUGGCUCUUCGGAGUGUUAUAGCCCGCCGCGCAAUACCCCUCGGCGGACUGAGGACCGCGCAUCUGCAAGGAUGCUGGCGUAAUGGUCGUCAGCGACCCGUCUUGAAACACGGACCAAGGAGUCGUCCUAAUAUGCGAGUGUUCGGGUGUAAAACCCCUGCGCGUAAUGAAAGUGAACGGAGGUGAGAGCUUCGGCGCAUCAUCGACCGAUCCUGAUGUUCUCGGAUGGAUUUGAGUAAGAGCAUAUUGGGCCGGACCCGAAAGAAGGUGAACUAUGCCUGUAUAGGGUAAAGCCAGAGGAAACUCUGGUGGAGGCUCGCAGCGGUUCUGACGUGCAAAUCGAUCGUCAAAUAUGGGCAUGGGGGCGAAAGACUAAUCGAACCUUCUAGUAGCUGGUUUCCGCCGAAGUUUCCCUCAGGAUAGCAGUGUUGAAUUUCUCAGUUUUAUGAGGUAAAGCGAAUGAUUAGGGACUCGGGGGCGCUAUUAAGCCUUCAUCCAUUCUCAAACUUUAAAUAUGUAAGAAGCCCUUGUUACUUAACUGAACGUGGGCAUUCGAAUGUAUCAACACUAGUGGGCCAUUUUUGGUAAGCAGAACUGGCGAUGCGGGAUGAACCGAUCGCGGGGAUAAGGUGCCGGAGUGGACGCUCAUCAGACACCACAAAAGGUGUUAUCACAUCUUGACAGCAGGACGGUGGCCAUGGAAGUCGGAAUCCGCUAAGGACUGUGUAACAACUCACCUGCCGAAUGUGAUAGCCCUGAAAAUGGAUGGCGCUCAAGCGUCCCACCCAUACCCCGCCCUCAGGGUAGACACUAUGCCCUGAGGAGUAGGCGGACGUGGAGGUCAGUGACGAAGCCUAGGGCGUGAGCCCGGGUCGAACGGCCUCUAGUGCAGAUCUUGGUGGUAGUAGCAAAUACUUCAAUGAGAUCUUGAAGGACCGAAGUGGGGAAAGGUUCCAUAUGAACAGCGGUUGGAUAUGGGUAAGCCGAUCCUAAGCCAUAGGGAAGUUCCGUUUCAAAGGGGCACUAAUCGCCCCGUAUGGCGAAAGGGAAGCCGGUCAAUAUUCCGGCGCCUGGAUGUGGGUUUUACGCGGCAACGCAAACGAAAGCGGAGACGAGGGCGGGGGCCCUGGGUAGAGUUCUCUUUUCUUCUUAACGGCCUAGUGACCCUGGAAUCGGUUUGUCCGGAGAUAGGGUUCAACGGCCGGAAGAGCCCAGCACUUCUGCUGGGUCCGGUGCGCUCCCGACCUCCCUUGAAAAUCCGCUGGAGGGAAUAAUUCUCACGCCAGUUCGUACUCAUAACCGCAGCAGGUCUCCAAGGUGAACAGCCUCUGGUUGAUAGAACAACGUAGAUAAGGGAAGUCGGCAAAAUAGAUCCGUAACUUCGGGAAAAGGAUUGGCUCUAAGGGUUGGGCACGUUGGGCUUCUGGCGGACGCCCCGGGAGCAGACGGCCACUAGCCGGGCAACCGGCCGGGGGCUGUCAGCAUCUGGGCGCGGAAGCCUUUAGCAGGCCUUCGGGCCGUCCGGCGUGCAGUUAACAACCAACUUAGAACUGGUGCGGACAGGGGGAAUCUGACUGUCUAAUUAAAACAUAGCAUUGCGAUGGCCAGAAAGUGGUGUUGACGCAAUGUGAUUUCUGCCCAGUGCUCUGAAUGUCAAAGUGAAGAAAUUCAACCAAGCGCGGGUAAACGGCGGGAGUAACUAUGACUCAACGUGCAGCUCCGGAACGGAAACGCACAGCGUUGCCUGUAGUGGAAGAAACAACAGCAACUUAAGAGGGUCAAGCAGCGUAAAAGGCGACUGCUAGUGGACCGCGGGCCUGCUGGGGAGGCCCGCGGAUUCCGCGACACUGUCAAAUUGCGGGGAGUUCCUAAAGCCUCUUGCUACCGCGGCCCGCCGAAAGGUAGGGUGCAGCACCAGGGUAAUGACCUCGGGGAUGGUAAAAACGCAGAGGAUGCUAACAAUGGAUGAUCCGCAGCCAAGUCCUACGUCCCAGGGGGCCCCCGACACUUCGUUUUGCUCGGAGGGGGCCAGGCACCGGGAUAGGGAUGCAGUUCAACGACUAGACGGCAGUGGGUCCGAGGGGGGCGAGCAAGCGUCCCACCCGUGCUGGGUGGGAGCCCCCCGCUGAACGGGCUUAAG